rnacentral:ncRNA from 1 species
CUGAACCGAUACCUGCGGCAGGCUUUCAGCCUGGGGAACGUUCCUGCUGACGCAGGCGGUUGCACUGAGUGCAUAACCGGUUCCCGUGAUACCCAAACCCCAGACACUCCGGCGCACAGGUAUUGUUCA